CUUACCAUGCAGUCGAACGGCAGCACGGGGGCAACCCUGGUGGCGAGUGGCGAACGGGUGAGUAAUACAUCGGAACGUGUCCUGUAGUGGGGGAUAGCCCGGCGAAAGCCGGAUUAAUACCGCAUACGAUCUACGGAAGAAAGCGGGGGAUCCUUCGAGACCUCGCGCUAUAGGGGCGGCCGAUGGCAGAUUAUCUAUUUGGUGGGGUAAAGGCCUACCAAGGAGACUAUGUGUAUCUGGUCUGAGAGGACGACCAGCCACACUGAGACUGACACACGGCCCACACUCCUACGGGAGGCAGCAGUGGGGAAUUUUGGACAAUGGGAGAAACCCUGAUCCAGCAGUGCCGCGUGUGUGAAAAACGCCUUCGGGUUGUAAAGCUCUUUUGUCCGGAAAGAAAACUUGUGCCCUAAUACUGUGAGAAGAUGACGGUACCGGAAAAAUAAGCACCGGCUAACUACGUGCCAGCACCCGCGGUAAUACAUAGGGUGCGAGCGUUACUCGGAUUUACUGGGCGUAAAGCGUGCGCACGCGGUUCGUUAACACAGAUGUGAAAUCCCCGGGCUUAACCUGGGAACUGCAUUUGUGACUGGCGAGCUAGAGUAUGGCAGAGGGGGGUAGAAUUCCACGUGUAGCUGUGAAGUGCGUAGAUAUGUGGAAGAAUACCGAUGGCGAANGCCCCCCCUGGGCCAUAGUGACUCUGUGCACAACGCGUGGAGAGCAACGAGAUAAACCCC
rnacentral:rRNA from 1 species